rnacentral:rRNA from 1 species
UACGUAGGGGGCGAGCGUUGUCCGAAGUUACUGGGCGUAAAGCGCGCGUAGGCGGGGGGUUAAGUGAGAGGUGAAAGGCUGGGGCUCAACCUCAUGCAGUGCCUCUCAUACUGGCCUUCUUGUGGGCGGUAGGGAGAAGUGGAAUGGCUGGUGUAGCGGUGAAAUGCGUAGAUAUCAGUCGGAACACCGGUGGCGAAGGCGGCUUCUUGGGCCGUUCCUGACGCUGAUGCGCGAAAGCUGGGGGAGCGAACGGG